GCCUCUGUGGUGCAGUGGUACAGCACGCGUCCCCGGAUAGGAUAAAACAGCGGUUCGAUUCCCGCCCGAAGCCG